AUUGAACGCUGGCGGCAGGCCUAACACAUGCAAGUCGAACGAGUGGCGGACGGGUGAGUAAUGUCUGGGAAACUGCCUGAUGGAGGGGGCUAACUACUGGAAACGGUAGCUAAUACCGCAUACCAUCAGAUGUGCCCAGAUGGGAUUAGCUAGUUGGUGGGGUAAUGGCUCACCCAGGCGACGAUCCCUAGCUUGGCUGAGCGGGUGACCAGCCACACUGGAACUGAGACACGGUCCAGACUCCUACGGGAGGCAGCAGUGGGGAAUAUUGCACAAUGGGCGCAAGUCUGAUGGAGCCAAGCCGCGUGUGUGAAGAAGGCCUUCGGGUUGUAAAGCACUGUCGGCGGGGAGGCGGUACCCACAGAAGAAGCAACGGCUAACUCCGUGCCAGCAGCCGCGGUAAUAC
rnacentral:rRNA from 1 species